rnacentral:misc_RNA from 1 species
UUUCCGUAGGUGAACCUGCGGAAGGAUCAUUCAUAAUAAAGUGUUUUAUGGCACUUUUUAAAAAUCCAUAUCCACCUUGUGUGCAAUGUUAGAUCUCGUCAAUCUUGGCGAGAUUUUUAUACAUCAACUCAUUCUUUAACUAAUUUGUCUGAAAAAUAUUAUGAAUACUUAAUUCAAACUACAACUUUCAACAACGGAUCUCUUGGCUCUC